CGAACGCUGGCGGCGUGCCUAAUACAUGCAAGUCGAACGAACUCUGGUAUUGAUUGGUGCUUGCAUCAUGAUUUACAUUUGAGUGAGUGGCGAACUGGUGAGUAACACGUGGGAAACCUGCCCAGAAGCGGGGGAUAACACCUGGAAACAGAUGCUAAUACCGCAUAACAACUUGGACCGCAUGGUCCGAGCUUGAAAGAUGGCUUCGGCUAUCACUUUUGGAUGGUCCCGCGGCGUAUUAGCUAGAUGGUGGGGUAACGGCUCACCAUGGCAAUGAUACGUAGCCGACCUGAGAGGGUAAUCGGCCACAUUGGGACUGAGACACGGCCCAAACUCCUACGGGAGGCAGCAGUAGGGAAUCUUCCACAAUGGACGAAAGUCUGAUGGAGCAACGCCGCGUGAGUGAAGAAGGGUUUCGGCUCGUAAAACUCUGUUGUUAAAGAAGAACAUAUCUGAGAGUAACUGUUCAGGUAUUGACGGUAUUUAACCAGAAAGCCACGGCUAACUACGUGCCAGCAGCCGCGGUAAUACGUAGGUGGCAAGCGUUGUCCGGAUUUAUUGGGCGUAAAGCGAGCGCAGGCGGUUUUUUAAGUCUGAUGUGAAAGCCUUCGGCUCAACCGAAGAAGUGCAUCGGAAACUGGGAAACUUGAGUGCAGAAGAGGACAGUGGAACUCCAUGUGUAGCGGUGAAAUGCGUAGAUAUAUGGAAGAACACCAGUGGCGAAGGCGGCUGUCUGGUCUGUAACUGACGCUGAGGCUCGAAAGUAUGGGUAGCAAACAGGAUUAGAUACCCUGGUAGUCCAUACCGUAAACGAUGAAUGCUAAGUGUUGGAGGGUUCCGCCCUUCAGUGCUGCAGCUAACGCAUUAAGCAUUCCGCCUGGGGAGUACGGCCGCAAGGCUGAAACUCAAAGGAAUUGACGGGGGCCCGCACAAGCGGUGGAGCAUGUGGUUUAAUUCGAAGCUACGCGAAGAACCUUACCAGGUCUUGACAUACUAUGCAAAUCUAAGAGAUUAGACGUUCCCUUCGGGGACAUGGAUACAGGUGGUGCAUGGUUGUCGUCAGCUCGUGUCGUGAGAUGUUGGGUUAAGUCCCGCAACGAGCGCAACCCUUAUUAUCAGUUGCCAGCAUUAAGUUGGGCACUCUGGUGAGACUGCCGGUGACAAACCGGAGGAAGGUGGGGAUGACGUCAAAUCAUCAUGCCCCUUAUGACCUGGGCUACACACGUGCUACAAUGGAUGGUACAACGAGUUGCGAACUCGCGAGAGUAAGCUAAUCUCUUAAAGCCAUUCUCAGUUCGGAUUGUAGGCUGCAACUCGCCUACAUGAAGUCGGAAUCGCUAGUAAUCGCGGAUCAGCAUGCCGCGGUGAAUACGUUCCCGGGCCUUGUACACACCGCCCGUCACACCAUGAGAGUUUGUAACACCCAAAGUCGGUGGGGUAACCUUUUAGGAACCAGCCGCCUAAGGUGGGACAGAUGAUUAGGGUG
rnacentral:rRNA from 1 species